rnacentral:rRNA from 1 species
UACGGGGGGGGCAAGGGUUGUUCGGAAUUACUGGGCGUAAAGGGCUCGUAGGCGGCCAACUAAGUCAGACGUGAAAUCCCUCGGCUUAACCGGGGAACUGCAUCUGAUACUGGAUGGCUUGAGUUCGGGAGAGGGAUGCGGAAUUCCAGGUGUAGCGGUGAAAUGCGUAGAUAUCUGGAGGAACACCGGUGGCGAAGGCGGCAUCCUGGACCGACACUGACGCUGAGGAGCGAAAGCCAGGGGAGCAAACGGG